rnacentral:rRNA from 1 species
UGAGUAACCUGCCCUUAACUCUGGGGUAAGCCUGGGAAACUGGGUCUAAUACCGGAUAUGACUCCUCAUCGCAUGGUGGGGGGUGGAAAGCUUUAUUGUGGUUUUGGAUGGACUCGCGGCCUAUCAGCUUGUUGGUGAGGUAAUGGCUCACCAAGGCGACGACGGGUAGCCGGCCUGAGAGGGUGACCGGCCACACUGGGACUGAGACACGGCCCAGACUCCUACGGGAGGCAG